UACGAAGGGGGCUAGCGUUGUUCGGAAUUACUGGGCGUAAAGCGCACGUAGGCGGAUCGAUCAGUCAGGGGUGAAAUCCCAGGGCUCAACCCUGGAACUGCCUUUGAUACUGUCGAUCUGGAGUAUGGAAGAGGUGAGUGGAAUUCCGAGUGUAGAGGUGAAAUGCGUAGAGAUCCGGAGGAACACCGAAGGCGAAGGCAGUCUCCUGGCAAGUUACUGACGCUCAGGUGCGAAAGCUAGGGGAGCGAACAGG
rnacentral:rRNA from 1 species